GCCUGGGUGGCUCAGUCGGUCGAGUGUCUGACUUCGGCUCAGGUCAUGAUCUCACAGUUUGUGGGUUCGAACCCCGCGUCAGGCU
rnacentral:tRNA from 1 species